rnacentral:rRNA from 1 species
UACGUAGGUGGCAAGCGUUGUCCGGAAUUAUUGGGCGUAAAGCGCGCGCAGGUGGUUUCUUAAGUCUGAUGUGAAAGCCCACGGCUCAACCGUGGAGGGUCAUUGGAAACUGGGGAACUUGAGUGCAGGAGAGAAGAGUGGAAUUCCACGUGUAGCGGUGAAAUGCGCAGAUAUCAGGAAGAACACCAAUGGCGAAGGCAGCUCUCUGGGACGGUACUGACGCUGAGACGCGAAAGCGUGGGGAGCGAACAGG